rnacentral:rRNA from 1 species
CCUACGGGAGGCAGCAGUGGGGGAUAUUGCACAAUGGGGGGAACCCUGAUGCAGCGACGCCGCGUGGGUGAAGGAGUGCUUCGGCAUGUAAAGCCCUAUCGGCAGGGAAGAAGCAAGACGGUACCUGACUAAGAAGCCCCGGCUAACUACGUGCCAGCAGCCGCGGUAAUACGUAGGGGGCGAGCGUUAUCCGGAUUCACUGGGUGUAAAGGGAGCGUAGACGGCCAUGCAAGCCAGGGGUGAAAGCCCGGGGCCCAACCCCGGGACUGCCCUUGGAACUGUGCGGCUAGAGUGCGGGUGGGGCAGGCGGAAUGCGUGGUGUAGCGGUGAAAUGCGUAGAUAUCAGGAGGAACACCGGCGGCGAAGGCGGCCUGCUGGACCGCGACUGACGUUGAGGCUCGAAAGCGUGGGGAGCGAACAGGAUUAGAUACCCUUGUAGUC